ACCAGGUGUGGUGGCACACACCUGUAAUCCCAGUGGCUUGGGAGGCUGAGACAGGAGGAUUGUGAGCCAGCCUCGGCAAAAGCAAGGCUCUAAGCAAUUCAGGAAGACCCUGUCUCUA
rnacentral:sRNA from 1 species